AGGUCACUUCAGAAAGGGCUUGGGGGACCAAAAUCAGAAGCUCUUCAUGCUGUGACCAAAGACUGAAGUUCUACAAAGGAUGUGAUAGUCACUCAAUUGUGCUGUGUUUCCCAGAGGAGAUAGAAGC